AUGAAUUGGACGAGCAACGGCCACGGGAGUGGCAUACCCCGUCGCCUAAGGCUGGAUUCCCUAAAUUCGAUGGUCAAAACCCCAAACUAUGGCAACAACGUGAAACCUAUUUUGAGAUUGAGUUCUGUGAGCGUGUGCAACAUGGACAUGCCGAGGGACGAAAAUGAGCAUGAGAACAACGACAAUGAAGAACAAGCUUCAGAGGUGAUGCUAAUUGGUUCAUAUUUGAGUACACCCAAGCGCAAACAUGCACUCCAAUUGCAUGUUUACGUGGGCAAGCACCAUGUUCAGAUUCGCAUGGACUUGCACAACGUGGGCACAUUCAUCAGCACAGAUAUGGCUAUGUGGCUCCACUGCAAGAUCCAGUUGUGCCCUCCUGUAGAUCUCAUAGUGGAAAAUGGCGCUCAAUUUCUUGUGACACCUAUGUGCCCCAGCUGGAAUGGUCUGUGCAUGGCCACAAAUUCGUAG
rnacentral:rRNA from 1 species